CACCCACUAAGCUUAUUUUCUGCCAAACGGUUAUUCGGAGAUGAAACUUGCAAGCCAAAGCACUCUGUUAAGUAGAUUCUGUGUAUGCUGUAAAUUUUAAAAAAUCUUAAGUGAAUAAAGUUAUUAACCAUGUCGUGCUGAGAUAUCUCUUCAAAAAGGUUCAAACAGAUUUCGAGAACAGCUUAUUCUAGAAAGCCAGGUUCUAUUCUCGCAUGAUUUAGGGAAUUUGGACUUCAGAGAAGUUGAAUAAGAUGACAUUAAAUAAGAAAAAUAGAAGGAUUUCCACUUCUGUAUGCAAUUUUUCCAGAUAUUCGAACUAACCUAAAUGGAUACCGGGCAAUGGUUCCUUGACAACAAACUUUGCUGUGACUUGACGACUUAUUGACGACUUUGGUAAUAAAAAUG